UGAACGCUGGCGGCGUGCCUAACACAUGCAAGUCGAACGGAGUCGUUUUGGAAAUCUCUUCGGAGAUGGAAUUCUCGACUUAGUGGCGGACGGGUGAGUAACGCGUGAGCAAUCUGCCUUUAAGAGGGGGAUAACAGUCGGAAACGGCUGCUAAUACCGCAUAAAGCAUUAAAUUCGCAUGUUUUUGAUGCCAAAGGAGCAAUCCGCUUUUAGAUGAGCUCGCGUCUGAUUAGCUAGUUGGCGGGGUAACGGCCCACCAAGGCGACGAUCAGUAGCCGGACUGAGAGGUUGAACGGCCACAUUGGGACUGAGACACGGCCCAGACUCCUACGGGAGGCAGCAGUGGGGAAUAUUGCGCAAUGGGGGAAACCCUGACGCAGCAACGCCGCGUGAUUGAAGAAGGCCUUCGGGUUGUAAAGAUCUUUAAUCAGGGACGAAACAAAUGACGGUACCUGAAGAAUAAGCUCCGGCUAACUACGUG
rnacentral:rRNA from 1 species